UACGUAGGGUGCAAGCGUUGUCCGGAAUUAUUGGGCGUAAAGAGCUCGUAGGCGGUCUGUCGCGUCGGCUGUGAAAACCCGGGGCUCAACCCCGGGCCUGCAGUCGAUACGGGCAGACUAGAGUGCGGUAGGGGAGACUGGAAUUCCUGGUGUAGCGGUGAAAUGCGCAGAUAUCAGGAGGAACACCGGUGGCGAAGGCGGCAUCCUGGCCUGUAACUGACGCUGAGACGCGAAAGCGUGGGGAGCGAACCGG
rnacentral:rRNA from 1 species